CCUACGGGAGGCUGCAGUGGGGAAUAUUGGGCAAUGGGCGCAAGCCUGACCCAGCAACGCCGCGUGAAGGCAGAAGGCUUUCGGGUUGUAAACUUCUUUUCUCAGGGACGAAGCAAGUGACGGUACCUGAGGAAUAAGCCACGGCUAACUACGUGCCAGCAGCCGCGGUAAUACGUAGGUGGCAAGCGUUAUCCGGAUUUACUGGGUGUAAAGGGCGUGUAGGCGGGAAAGCAAGUCAGAUGUGAAAACCAUGGGCUCAACCUGUGGCCUGCAUUUGAAACUGUUUUUCUUGAGUACUGGAGAGGCAGACGGAAUUCCUAGUGUAGCGGUGAAAUGCGUAGAGAUUAGGAGGAACACCAGUGGCGAAGGCGGUCUGCUGGACAGCAACUGACGCUGAGGCGCGAAAGCGUGGGGAGCAAACAGGAUUAGAUACCCGGGUAGUC
rnacentral:rRNA from 1 species